rnacentral:lncRNA from 1 species
CUCCCGAAGUGUUUGGAUUACAGGUGUGAGCUACCGCACCCGGCAACAAGGACAUUUUUAUACAAGCUGAUAGGGCUGUGAAUUCCUGGUUGUAUGAGACGUGAAUUCCUGGUUGCUCCACUCCAUCUUUCCGGAGUGGAGACCCCAAAUUCUGUUGGGGAAAGUGUACAACUACUGCUCUUAACUGCUUCCUGCCGACAAGGGGUGCUGUUUUGGGAAAGUGGCAGUUAAGGCUCCUCCUGAGAAUCCUCCAUCUCAGGAAGGCCCCAGUAUUGCCAGGCUGGGAGAAACCCAAGCCAUGAGGAUAGACCAUGAAUAGGAGUUCUGGUUGACAAUCCCAGUUCACUCCCAGCUUCAAAUACACAAGGCCAAGUGCCAGAUACGGGCAUAAAAAGCAAUUUUGGAAGUGGACACUCCAGUCCCAGCUGUCCUAGCCCUCAGCUAUUUGAGUUGCAUCCAGACAUGUAAAUCUUCCCAGCUGAGGCCUCAUCAUUGAGGUGCAGAAAAGGGGCAUGCCCAUUGUGCCUGUUUCUAAAUUCCUGACCCACAGAACCUCUAAUCAGCAAUACAACUGGGAUUUGAUAUCAGAUUCAUGCGAUUCCGAAGACCCUGACCACCAAAUGCAAAAGAUGCUGUAGUCUGAGUAGCUGAAAUCACUCAUAUAGGCACCACCUUACAUGACUGAUGCCCAGUAAAAGCCCUGGAGACCAAAACUUAAAUGAGCUUCUCUGAUUGACAACACUUCAAUAUGCUGUCAAAUAUUGUUGCUGGGAGAAUUACGUGUGUUCUUGUGGGAUUCCGCUGGGAGAGGACACCUGAAAGCUUGUACCUGAUAUCUACAUUUCUCCCCAUGGGCUUUUUUUCUUUGUUGAUUUUAAUCUGUAUCUUUUCAUUGUAGUAAACUGUAACUAUGAAUGUAACAUGUUUUCUAAGACCUGUGAAUCAUUGUAGUUAAUCUUUGAGCCUAAGGGUGGUCAUAAGGAGCCCCAACACACUAAUAAAUUACUUUCAUAAAGAAUAUAUAAAAGCUGUCAAAAAUCAAAAAUAAAACAAAUCACCCAAUUUUUAAAAGGCAAAAGAUUGAAAAAGACACCAUGAAAGAAGACAUGGAUGACAAAUAAGUAUAUCAAAAGAUUUUAACAUCUGUAGUCAUUAAAGAAUUGAAAACCACAAAGAAAUACUAUUGAUAGUUAUUACAAUGUCCAAAGUGAAAAAAAAGUAUUGACCCUACCAGGUAUAGGCAACAAAAUGGAGGAACUGAAACUUUAAUAUACUUUUGAUUGACAACCACUUUGUAAAAUAGAUUGACAGCUUCUUAAAAAAGUAAACCUACACUUACCACUUAAUCUAGUCAUUUAUCUUCUAGAUAUUUCCCCCUCGAAAAAUGAAAAAGAAAUUGUUGUAUAUAAAUGUUCAUAGGCAUUUUCUCUUUAAUAGCUAAAACGUGGUCAUGACCCAAAUAUUCAUUAACAAGUAAUUGGUGAUAUAUACAUACAGCAAAAUUCUGCUCAGCAAUAAAAAUGUUCGACUACUGACACAUGCAACAACAUGAAUGAAUUUCAAAAGAAUUUUGCUGUAAAGCAAAAAUGCCAGCCAAAAAAUAGUGCACCUUAUAUGAUUCCAUUUAUAUAAAACUUCUGAAUGCACCAAUAUACAAUAUACAGUAACAUACAAUACUGAAAGAUGGUCAGCAGUUGUCUAGCUAAUAUGCUUAUUAGGAGAGACAAUAAUUGCAAGAGGGGAUUAUUAAAAGUAGUCAUGAGGAAACAUUCUGUGGAUUUAUAUGUUCACUAUCUUGACAAUAAUGGUGAUCUCAUGUAUGUAUAACUAUGUCAGAGCAUAUCUAAUAAUUUAUCUUAUAUAUUUUUGGCUUUUAAUAUAUUAAUUAUAGCUCAAUAAAUUUCUUAAAAACUCAUUGGACUCUAUCUGUAAUGUGUGUAUGUUUAGUUUUAAGUAAAGUGCAGCUAAAUUUUUCUCCACCAUUACAAUUUUCAAACAUACUUUCACUUACAGAACAGCAUACUGAAAAUUAACACAUGCUUUUAUAAUUAUAAAUAAAAUAGUAAUAUAUCAUUUCUGCUGAAAUAAAUGCAAACCAAUUACAAGGAAUUUAUUUGUUUUGAUUUUAGUUACUUCAUAUGUAUUAGCAUCUAAGCCUCAAAGAUUCACUAUGUAAUUGUGUAAAUUAGUAGUAGGGUUACCUGAAUCUGGCUUAAUAAUCAAUUAAUCAGUAUUUAUCUUUAAACAUUUUUUCCUUUAUGAAUUGCGUCACACUUUUAAAGAGCCCUUCCUACAAGCAUAUAUAAAAUAUAUUCUUAUACUAUUUUAGAAUAAUUUCAGAAGUUAGAUUGUUUUCUAGUUUUUAGUGUUUUCAUUGAUACCAAAUUUAUUUUUAUGUACAUAAAUGUAUGAUUUUAAGUCAGAUUAUUUCAAACUGGUAUCCCUGCAAUUAUCUGAACAGAAUUUUUAAGUAGUCACAUUGACUUUUUUUUUUUUAAAGUUAGUUUUAAGCUAUUUGAUAACAUAUGGAUCUACUUCACUAAAGUUAUAUUUUUGUGUGUAAUUCUUUAAUCCAUCUGGAGAUAUUUUGGUUGUUUUUCAAUCAGAUAGCCAGUUAAACCAGAAAGAAAAAUCUUACCAAAAAGUUUCCACUUAGAAAAUUUAAUAGCCAAAAAAACUAAUAUAUGCAAGAAUGAGCAAAAACAUAUUGAUAAAAGAUACAUCAUAUUUUUAUUGAAAUAUUUCAUAAUGAAAUGUUUCACAUGGUUAAAGAACUACAAAUUCAUUCAAUGUAAAUAAAAACUUCAUGGGAAAUGUAUAAUAUAUGAGGGAUUAUUUGAUAUCUGAAAAAAUUAGAUAGAAAAUAAAGCUUAAAAACUUCUAGAAGGUAAUCCAGUAGAAUAUUUAUCAGCUUAGGCUAACAAAUGAUAUAAACAUGAUUAAAGAACAGCUAAACUUAAAUAAAAAUAUUAAGUUGGUGACAAAGUGUAAAACACCAUUCUUGAAAAUAUGCAAUUACAAAUAGGAAAGUGCUAAUAGGAGAAAAAAUAAGAUGUUUAUAAUGCAAAAAGUAUUAACAUUCAAAACUGUUGAUAAUAUAAAGA